rnacentral:rRNA from 1 species
AUGCUUUCACAACUUGACUUCAAAAUAUUUGGUUUGGAGACCAUCAAAGAUCAAUAUGUGCAUGAUGCUGAUUUUAAAGAUGUAAUGCAGAAUUGUAAAGAAGGAAGAAUGUGGAACAAGUUUCUCGUUAACGAUGGAUUUGUGUUUCGUGCUAACAAGCUAUGCAUUCCAGCUAGCUCCGUUCGUCUUUUGUUGUUGCAGGAGGCACAUGGAGGAGGAUUAAUGGGACACUUUGGCGUGAAGAAGACGGAGGACGUACUUGCUACACAUUUCUUUUGGCCAAAGAUGAGACGGGAUGUUCAGCGGGCUGUUUUGAAGAAUAAUAAGAAAAUGUGGGAGGAAUGCUUGCCUCAUAUUGAAUUUGCUUAUAAUCGUUCAUUGCAUUCUACUACUAAGAUGUGCCCUUUUGAAGUUGUGUAUGGUUUCCUACCUCGUGCACCUAUUGAUUUGUUGCCUCUUCCAUCUUCGGAGAAGGUUAAUUUUGAUGCUAAACAACGUGCUGAAUUGAUUUUAAAAAUGCAUGAGUUAACUAAGGAAAACAUUGAGCGCAUGAAUGCUAAAUAUAAACUUGCUGGAGAUAAGGGUAGAAAACAUGUUGUGUUUGCACCUGGAGAUCUUGUUUGGUUACAUUUGCGUAAGGAUAGAUUUCCUGAUUUGCGCAAAUCAAAGUUAAUGCCACGUGCUGAUGGUCCCUUUAAGGUGUUAGAGAAAAUAAAUUAUAAUGCAUAUAAACUUGAGCUGCCUGCAGAUUUUGGGGUUAGUCCCACUUUUAACAUUGCAGAUUUGAAGCCUUAUUUGGGUGAGGAAGAUGAACUUCCGUCGAGGACGACUUCAUUUCAAGAAGGGGAGGAUGAUGAGGACAUCAAUACAAUUGUUACACCCACAGCCCCUGCUGCUAUACAUACUGGACCAAUUACUAGAGCUCGUGCACGGCAACUAAACUACCAGGAAACAGACCCUCGUGGUCAGGUUGAUCGUGCUCCGGCGUGGUCAAUAACCUCUCGGAGUUGGUUUAGCGAUUGCUAA